GCCUGGGUGGCUCAGUCGGUUGGGCAUCCGACUUCGGCUCAGGUCAUGAUCUCGCAGUUUGUGGGUUCAAGCCCCGCAUCAGGCU
rnacentral:tRNA from 1 species